AGAGUUUGAUCCUGGCUCAGGGCGAACGCUGGCGGCAGGCUUAACACAUGCAAGUCGAGCGGGCGUAGCAAUACGUCAGCGGCAGACGGGUGAGUAACGCGUGGGAACGUACCUUUUGGUUCGGAACAACCCAGGGAAACUUGGGCUAAUACCGGAUAAGCCCUUACGGGGAAAGAUUUAUCGCCGAAAGAUCGGCCCGCGUCUGAUUAGCUAGUUGGUGGGGUAAUGGCCCACCAAGGCGACGAUCAGUAGCUGGUCUGAGAGGAUGAUCAGCCACAUUGGGACUGAGACACGGCCCAAACUCCUACGGGAGGCAGCAGUGGGGAAUAUUGGACAAUGGGCGCAAGCCUGAUCCAGCCAUGCCGCGUGAGUGAUGAAGGCCCUAGGGUUGUAAAGCUCUUUUGUGCGGGAAGAUAAUGACGGUACCGCAAGAAUAAGCCCCGGCUAACUUCGUGCCAGCAGCCGCGGUAAUACGAAGGGGGCUAGCGUUGCUCGGAAUCACUGGGCGUAAAGGGUGCGUAGGCGGGUCUUUAAGUCAGGGGUGAAAUCCUGGAGCUCAACUCCAGAACUGCCUUUGAUACUGAAGAUCUUGAGUUCGGGAGAGGUGAGUGGAACUGCGAGUGUAGAGGUGAAAUUCGUAGAUAUUCGCAAGAACACCAGUGGCGAAGGCGGCUCACUGGCCCGAUACUGACGCUGAGGCACGAAAGCGUGGGGAGCAAACAGGAUUAGAUACCCCCGUAGUCC
rnacentral:rRNA from 1 species